CUAAUGUUAUAAUUACAUCUCUGCACUACAUAACUAACAAUAAUUGUUUAAAUAUCUACGUAGGAGAUCGCUGACCUAUAUAAUAAAUGUGUAUUUCAGAAAAGUUCUUUUCAAUAUCGCAAGCAUGAGAGACAAGUGGAAGAAAAAACGUAUGCGAAGAUUGAAGCGUAAGAGAAGAAAGAUGCGAGAAAGAUCCAAGUAAAUUGUCACACUUAUGUGCAGUUCUCUGGUUUCAAGAUAAGUUCUCGCCAUUACUAAAAUUAAGACAAUUGUUCACGUUUAAAACAAUCUAGAUAUGAAGUUAAUUUUGCAAAUUACUUGAAAUGUUAACAAGGCAGUUUAAGUUUUUAGUGACAAUAAUUUCAACUGGUUUCGAUAAAGCUAUAGAAAAAGAACAGUUUUAAUUUGUUAGUGAUCGUGGAAUGUAUCCAGUUAUCAUAUGAUAUGCAAUAAAGUGCUGAGCAAGAAAUUGUUGUUUUUAUUUCUUACUAAAAUUGAGGUAGCUCUGUUCACGAUUUGUCCAUUUUUAUUGGCUCUAUGGUACGCGUUGGCUUUUAAUUUUUUAAAUUAAUUUAUUCCAAACAGCGCAGAAAGUUACUUUUUUAACUAUUUGUCGUGUCAAUUUUUGCUGUCUAUUUAAAAGAAUAGUCAUCCCUGAGGAAGUGUGCCUUGAUCCUUAUAUUUAAAUAUCAAUGGAAAGAAAUGCACGAACAACAAUUACCGAAGAAACUAAAAAUAUGGUAGUGAAAAAUGUUUAAUCAAGGAAAUAUCCAGCGCUUGUAAUUUAA